rnacentral:rRNA from 1 species
AUGUCAGGAAUAAAGAAGAUCCAUAACCAGCUAGCAUAUAAUAUUGAAGCUUACAUAAAUGGCACAAAAUAUAUAAUAGAUGAAAUUACAAUAAGAGAUUUGUCAGUAAUAAACGAUGACAUGAUAAUAGGGUUAAGAUUUUUACAACAAUCUUUACAAACCACAAUCAUACAUGAAGAGGGGGUAACAUUUAUUCCUUAUCAAGAUAAUGUUCCAUACAUAUCUGAAGUGCGAAAACAAAGAAAGUCCUUACAAAAUGUAGAAAUAUCUAAUUUAGAUGAUGAAUAUAGCACAAGUCCAGAUCCCCUUGAAUUCUGUAAAGACGAAGAACUUAGUGAGACCAUAGAAGAAUAUCAUAUAGAAAAUACAUGUACUGAAUGCAUUGGGUUGCAAUCAUUCUCUCCAAAUUGGUAUAGAGAUAUAAAAUCUAAAAAGGAUAUAGAUAAGAUUGUGCAAAGACUAGAAAGUAUACAAAUUAUUGGAGAAAUACCAAUGAAACAUUGGGAUAAGAACUCUAUAGUUUGA